rnacentral:sRNA from 2 species
AUAAAAGAGGCAGGGAGUUCAAAUCUUUGCCAAUCGCGGUCAAGUCUUGGGAGGAUCAGAUCUUAGGCGCGCUCGUACGCAGCCCCGGUAACGGUUGAAGAUCACGCGAAACUUUGAACAAGGCGUUUUCGCCUUGUUUUUUUUU